rnacentral:lncRNA from 1 species
AGAACGGACUCGACGCCCCUCCGUCUUCCACAUGAACCUAUUCCACUGUUGACCACACGGUGUCGCUCUGAUUCCCGCCACUGUCAGGCAAACCCGCAGCUGCCGGUCGCCGACCUGCUCGAGACGAGACGUUCACCGUGUUAGCCGUCUGUCGUAGCAUGAACAUUUUUAACACAUUUUUUAAAGUAACCUUUCCUGCCUCAUAUUUUCACCGGGGACUCUGGAAUCGGUUGUGAAAAAGGCCAUAAUCGCUGAGGACCCCUGCACCUUCCAUGCCUCUUCAAGAAGUUUGGAGCUCUGAAGUUCACAACUAUGUUUGCCAGGAUAAAAAGACUAAUGUGUGAGAAGACCUACUGAAAGAACUGAUCUGCAGUCCAUCCUUCAGCUUACUUUCCUCCUACCUGGUAUUUGGCCUGGUACCAGCCUUCUGACUAAUGUUCCCGCUGACCAGGAACGACAUGAGGAGGAGCGUGGACGUGCUCACAGAGGAGACCAGACGAGUGGGCCGCUACCCUGCUCACCAGGCAAGAAACUCUCUGUAAGGGCUGCUGAGAAUUACAUAUGGUUUCAUAUGGUUUUAGCCCCUGCAUGAAAAAAAGCACUGCAAUACUCUGUCUGUCUGUGUGUGUGUGUGUGUGUGUGUGUGUGUACAUAUAAAUGUCUUGGUUUUAUGUAACUUCUACAACCGUAGCUAAUUUGUCGUGUUUUCGGUGUCCACCACCGGCCC